rnacentral:lncRNA from 1 species
ACCCCUCAGGUACUGCAACAGCUGUGCCGCAACCACCCGCAGCUGCUACUGCCGCGGCAGCCGCGGAACAGGCCGCUACCGCCACCACCCGGUUCCGAGUCACCGCCGCCGCCGCCCUCACCCGCCAUCGCUACUACUGCAGCAGCGUCCAACGACGCCCCGCCUGUCCCCCUUUCCGUACGAGUGCUGGGGGGGACAUCAGCAGGUCCGCUGCACGACCUUCUGCCCCUGGGCAGCCAGGGUGCGGACCCCGCCAAUCCCGCGAUCCCAUCUGGGCCCGCACCCUUCGGCCCUGGGGCUGCUGAUGCGUUUGUAUCGGGAGGCGCUCUGGCAGUGCUGCCCGAGUGCUGGUGGCUGCGUUACCUGGGUCGGGGUCUGCCCACCACCAUGUACCAACAGUUGCGGGACGGGGGUGUAGAAGGAGGGGAGAAACGGAGGAAAACGGUGGCAGCGGGCGGCGAGGCGGCGGGGGGGGGUGCGGGGGGGGAUGCAGGAGGAGGGGGAACAGCACUCUCAGGAGGAGGAUGGGAAGGAGGAGGAGAAGGAGGAGGUGGGAGAAGGAACGCGGACUUUGCGGAAUCCACAGUAUAUGGAGGAGGAGGCGGGAGAGGUGACGGAUAUGGAGACCUCAGACGCGAGAGGCUAAGGUGCGCAAGCUGGGUGAUUUCAGCUCCCCAUCUCACACACAUACAUACAUACAUAUGUGCCGAUGUGUGGGACAGGGGGUCUAUCUUCACCCUGAGGCCGCUACCCGGCAGACCCUGCUUUCCCCGGUACUUUGGGGCACCCUCAUCCAUUCACCCUAGCCGACUUCUCAGUGGAUCGCUCAGGUUCAGCACCCACCACUGGCAUCCAACGGGAUCUGCCGGAUCAACGGCGGCUCAACUACAUUCCUGGUCAGCUCGCAGGUCUACUUUAUCCCAGUAUGUAUGUAUGCAUGUAUGUAUGCGCCAUUGAGGAUCUUGCCAUUUAAGACUCCUACAUGGCCCUGCCCCUCCCACCCACAACACCUUGCACGUGUUCGCAGGCACCUCGGGCUGCAUGUGCUGAUGGCGCCCAGGCGAGGCUUUGAAAGGGGUGAGCAGCUGCUGGGAGAGAAGCGGACGGAGGAGAAGGGUGCCGAGCAGGUUGAGUGGCGGCUAGGGAAUGAUAGUGGCAGAGGAGGUGGGGAAGGAGGCGUCUUGGUGGGGCUGGUUGAUGAACGCGACGGGGUUGCGAUGACUAGUGUGGUGGAGGGCGGCUGCGGAGGCGCAGAGGUUGAGAGGAUGUGUAGCACCACUGGCUGUAGCGACUGCAGUGUCAGUGGCUGUAGCGGUAAUAGUGCUGCUGCUGUUGCUGCCGCCACAGUGGCGCCGCCGCUCCUGCUCUGGUUCCCAAGCCUCACAGCGGCACUCCUAGCAGCGCAGUUUGCGUGGUUCAGGACGGGUGCCGUACGGUUUCGGAGUGCCAAGCAGCUGCAAACAGCGUUACAAGGGCUGCCGGAGUAUGCCGAGCAGCGGAUGGAGGACCUGCGGGGAGGAUUACCGACGUGGCUUGACCUGGGGUCAAUGUUGUCGGAUGGGUGAUGGGUGAUGACCGACCUGGCCCGGCUGAGCGGUCACCUGACUUCCGGGGUGAGGGUUAAAUGGACAGAGCGUUUCCGAGGCCCUUGUAAGGAAGUGUCAAACGGCGCAGGUUGAGGGACCCAUUUGCCCGCUGAAUCACUGUCCGGAAUCGGACUGCCGCCUCGCUUCGGAAGCAGCCGAUGGUAAAAGGUUGUGGCAGGAGCUGGAAAGUGAAGCGAAAUUACAGCUGUGCUGUUAUAUCAGGAGAUGUUAUUAUGCUGUCUGACAAUUUGGAACCAUUUCUCGAUUUGUGCGUGCCAUCCUUGCGCAGGGGCCAUGCUAAUCCUCUCUGUAUUUUUCCAAUUUUAAAAGUUGUGCCGAAGCUCUGACGGUCGACAUGGUGGUUGCCCGCGUCUGCUGGGAGAAAGCUUACAAACGAAACUAGUAGUAGGACACGGCGUUCCGAUUCCGCAGAGAUGGCGUUAAACCGUUGGGCCGCCACAUACCACCACCAGGGCAGUCCGGUCUUGCUGGGGGCCGCCGCCCUGUGGGUGGUUUGAGAGUGGAAACCCUUUGCGACUCUCCGCCACAGCGACAAAGGGAUGAGAUGCUCCAUGAGCUGCGGUGGCCGACAUGGUUGCGGCCCAUCGUACUCGGCUCUGUGAGGACGGGGAGGUCUGUAGGGAUAUAAGGUGGUGUUGAUGAUUCGUGAUGGAAGGGUGUGGUCCCGGCACCUGGAAACCCCAGCUAGUUAUACGUGUGGCGGCAGCCCCAAGUAUUUGCCACUUGGGACAGUCAAUGCAAAAAGAACCGCAUCGGAAAAGCUCAAUAAAAAUGUGUAUUCUCAGGGCAGAGCUUCCGCAUUCUCCUGUGCUCUGGGACGGGCAUCAGUCCAUCCCUCGAUGAGCAGCGCAGUAGAUUCUUGGGCCCUGGUUUGGCGGCGGUCCGGAUCGAUUGAAAAUCGUUUGUUUCGUUUCUUCGCUUCGCUAUAGACUGGAACCCUUAUCUGAAGCGUUAAUGUAGUAUGAAGUCUCUACAUGAAGACAUGCGUAUGGGCCAGCCCAGCUGCAAGACUGCAGCUCGCGAUUCCGUCCUGAGCCAGGUAGCUGGUGGCACUGAACCCCUACUUUUUCCGAGGUAGCUUAGCCACGAGCCCCAUAUGCCUACUUGGAUAAAAAACACGUCUUAUUGGAAUGCCCAGCCUAUAAUGAUGUUAAUGCUGAGGAGGGAUUCGAUCAUCAACAGAGCAUGUUGGAGGCCAUGAAAUGGGAACCAGUACGUGUGGCGAGGAUGUUGGAACGUAUGUGGGCUCACCGAAACUCAGUUACCCCCUUUGGACGCUAGUCUGGGCUGAUGUGCGGUGUUUCCUGUUCUCCGUGGCCUUUAGGCGUAUAGAUAUUGCCCUUGGGCCUUCGGCUCGUAUGGGUAGUUUUAUAGUUAUGAGGUCAAACACACACAUACACAUAUCCCUACUUAGUAAUCGGGCCGGCUAAGGUGGUAGCUCCGAAAACCCAAAUCACCGCAUGUGACAGGGAAAAGUUGUAAACACCGACCUAACGUUUGUGUUGGAUUAAGACUGCCGCGUUGGAAUCGAGGUUGCAGGGACAUGCAACCGUUCAACUGCAGGUUUUCCGAAGGUAAGACGACAAUUGCCACUCAUGACUGAGUACACCUCUGACCAAGUGCAUGUCCAAUGAUCUGACCUCCCAUGUGAUGUAAUUCCUAUUGGUGUGCGUUCGUUAGUUAGCAGUCAACAAAUACACCUGUAAGUUCGCUCGGCCGAUCAGCCGACGAGCUGAAAAGCGAGUCCCAUAAUGUUUUUUACAAAGCCAAGCGGGAGUCGAAAUGAUGAGCACACGAACCGAUAAGUCACCCUCAUCUGUUCAACACACAUCGGCUACAGUCUAACACAUCAUCUUCUCUGCAGUCGGUGACAGAUUUCCUCACAGGGAACAUUCAAAGAGUCCCACCCCUCGCGGCUCAUCAAAAAAAUUACCCGACCUUGGCUUCACGACUACCUCCAGGAAGCCGCCAUAACCCGCGCCCCAACAGACCCUAGGUAUGUAAGAGAGCUGCUUCCAGGCCCUUACGAGUAGUACGGCAGGAUCUGCGUGCAGACGUAAGCCCAUGCAACACCAGCCUCACCACCGACCAGGAAGCCAGCAGUGAACUCAGCCCACCUGCAGAGCGAGCCAAGAGGGUGCAAUGAACGAGUAAAUGGGUAGCAACUUCAGUACAAACCCACGAAGAUCAUGACAUCUUAAUCAUCUUACUUGACUGAGUCAGUCUCAUUCUUUUAUAUGAAAUAGAGCUUACCCAUCAGCGGAGAAGAGCGGGUCGCGGGCAACGCUGCGGCCCGACAGGGUCUUCACGCCCAGCUUAGGCGCAGACUGGAACUGGGCCGAGCCGUAGACAGAGAGAGCCAGAGACAGAAUCAGCACCAGACCAGCAGCCGAAAGAGAGCCAGCAAUCUCAGCAACCUCGGGCACGUUGCGCAGCGGGCCCAGCUGCAGGGAACAUUGUAAACCAUACAGAAGAAGUCAUCAGCAACACAGCUCUGCUCGUAGUACCUUCCAAAGUUUGCCAAGUAAUCGGCAAGCAAAUCCUUGAUAUCCUUUAUUCCGUAAGUUCACAGCCUGUUACUAGAAGGUAUGCCUAUUGAAAGUGCGCAUUUAAGCAAAUAGGCAAAGCACAGCCAUUCCCUGGUGACUGGUAGUGUCAAUCGACAUCGGACAACAAGAGCUCGUCGCUGUGCAUAUGUAACGAAGUUAUCGCUGGGACCUACCUUAAUGAAGGGGCCAGCUACCAGGAAGCCGUGCGCAAGGCCAAUCUCCACGCCGCGCAGCAGGGGAGCAACGCCAGUGCGGUAGGCCGGCAGGUUGCUCAGGUAAGUGGCGACGAUUGGGGCCGAGGUCACGGGGGUCUCCAGCAUACCCACGAACGGAUCGCCGUUAACGGGGGUGAUCACCUGGGCCUGCAGACGAGCAAGUGUGGAUAGUAAUUUGCCUUUUCAUGGACGGUUCUCUAUGAAGACAAGAGAAGUUUGCACUGUAAUCAUAUUUUCAGCUGGUGAUCUUCAC